UAGCUAUCUGGGGUAGCACUGUUCACAUAACCAAAGUCCCGAACGGCCCGGCGUUCGUAUAAACGAAUGAGAACAAGAGAAGGGAGGUCGGCGGCUUCACCGGUGUUCGUGAAGAAAAGUGUCCAUUUUCAGUUCCAUGAAAUAGUCAACGAACAUCGCUGUGCAUUCGACAGUUUAAGAUGGCCGCCGCCACGUGUUCGGCUAUACAAACAACGGCCACCCAGCGUUCGUCAAUUAAGCUGCG